rfam:Corchorus capsularis cultivar CVL-1 contig06281, whole genome shotgun sequence.
GGGUGCGAAUCAUACCAGCACUAAUGCACCGGAUCCCAUCAGAACUCCGACAGUUAAACGUGCUUGGGCGAGAGUAGUACGUAGGAGUGGGUGACCUCCUAGGAACGCCCUAGUGUUGCACCCC